UACAGAGGGUGCGAGCGUUGUCCGGAAUCACUGGGCGUAAAGGGCGCGUAGGCGGCUCGGUCGGCGUGCGGUGAAAGCCCGGGGCUCAACCCCGGGUCGGCCGUGCGAACUGCUGGGCGUGGAGCACUUGUAGAGGCAGGUGGAAUUCCGGGUGUAGCGGUGGAAUGCGUAGAGAUCCGGAAGAACACCGGUGGCGAAGGCGGCCUGACUGGGCAGUAGCU
rnacentral:rRNA from 1 species